ACAAAUGGGAAAAACUAGGCGAACAAAUGUAUCAGAAAACAAAAUGUUCAAAACACGUAUCACCGAACGUCUCUCAGUAUCUUUUUUCAUUAUAAUAGCAAUGGUUUAUCGUUGUUUACAAAUUAUACUAAAUAAUUCUAUGAAUCCUACCUUCUCAGCUUCCCAUCAAUAGCGGUGACUCAUCCAUUCCCGAUAUCAUCUAUUUUCUUUUUCGGGAGGGAGGGGUGGGUUCUUUCAUAAAUCUGUUCAUCUUCGACAGCAAUCAAGUCAAUAUUGUUUUUAAUGCGGUUAUAUUAUUUGUGCACGAUAUAAUAUAUUUUGUCGUUUUUGUUCACGUUUCACUGACCGAUCUGUCUAUUGGGAAAUCAUUGAAAAACGCUCGUAUAAUAAUAAUUGUAUACUUUAGCAGAAAAUUCCGUAAAGGUUACCUACGUGACCGGUGA